rnacentral:rRNA from 1 species
GAUCCUGGCUCAGGGUGAACGCUGGCGGCGUGCUUAAGACAUGCAAGUCGAACGGACUUCCCUCGGGAAGUCAGUGGCGCACGGGUGAGUAACACGUAACUGACCUGCCCCAAAGUCGCGGAUAACGUUCCGAAAGGAACGCUAAUACGUGAUGUGCUGUCCCCUCGUGUGGGGCCAGUAAAGGUUUACUGCUUUGGGAUGGGGUUGCGUUCCAUCAGCUGGAUGGUGGGGUAAAGGCCUACCAUGGCGACGACGGA